rnacentral:rRNA from 1 species
AGUGAACGCUGGCGGUAGGCCUAACACAUGCAAGUCGAACGGCAGCACAGUAAGAGCUUGCUCUUACGGGUGGCGAGUGGCGGACGGGUGAGGAAUACAUCGGAAUCUACUUUUUCGGGGGGGAUAACGUAGGGAAACUUACGCUAAUACCGCAUACGACCUACGGGUGAAAGCAGGGGAUCUUCGGACCUUGCGCGAUUGAAUGAGCCGAUGUCGGAUUAGCUAGUUGGCGGGGUAAAGGCCCACCAAGGCGACGAUCCGUAGCUGGUCUGAGAGGAUGAUCAGCCACACUGGAACUGAGACACGGUCCAGACUCCUACGGGAGGCAGCAGUGGGGAAUAUUGGACAAUGGGCGCAAGCCUGACCCAGCCAUACCGCGUGGGUGAAGAAGGCCUUCGGGUUGUAAAGCCCUUUUGUUGGGAAAGAAAAGCAGCAGGUUAAUACGCCGCUGUUCUGACGGUACCCAAAGAAUAAGCACCGGCUAACUUCGUG